AUUGAACGCUGGCGGCAGGCUUAACACAUGCAAGUCGAGCGGUAGCACAGGGGAGCUUGCUCCCUGGGUGACGAGCGGCGGACGGGUGAGUAAUGUCUGGGAAACUGCCUGAUGUAGGGGGAUAACUACUGGAAACGGUAGCUAAUACCGCAUAACGUCGCAAGACCAAAGAGGGGGACCUUCGGGCCUCUUGCCAUCAGAUGUGCCCAGAUGGGAUUAGCUAGUAGGUGGGGUAAUGGCUCACCUAGGCGACGAUCCCUAGCUGGUCUGAGAGGAUGACCAGCCACACUGGAACUGAGACACGGUCCAGACUCCUACGGGAGGCAGCAGUGGGGAAUAUUGCACAAUGGGCGCAAGCCUGAUGCAGCCAUGCCGCGUGUGUGAAGAAGGCCUUCGGGUUGUAAAGCACUUUCAGCGAGGAGGAAGGUGGUGAACUUAAUACGUUCAUCAAUUGACGUUACUCGCAGAAGAAGCACCGGCUAACUCCGUG
rnacentral:rRNA from 1 species